AACGCGAAGAACCUUACCUACCCUUGACAUCCUGCGAAGAUUGAAGAGAUUCGAUUGUGCCGAAAGGAACGCAGAGACAGGUGCUGCAUGGCUGUCGUCAGCUCGUGUUGUGAGAUGUUGGGUUAAGUCCCGUAACGAGCGCAACCCUUGUCCUUAGUUGCCAUCAUUUAGUUGGGGACUCUAAGGAGACUGCCGGUGAUGAACCGGAGGAAGGCGGGGACGACGUCAAGUCAUCAUGGCCUUUAUGGGUAGGGCUACACACGUGCUACAAUGGGGCGUACAGAGAGUCGCCAACCCGCGAGGGGGAGCCAAUCUCGCAAAGCGCCUCGUAGUCCGGAUUGGAGUCUGCAACUCGACUCCAUGAAGUUGGAAUCGCUAGUAAUCGCGAAUCAGCAUUGUCGCGGUGAAUACGUUCCCGGGCCUUGUACACACCGGCUAC
rnacentral:rRNA from 1 species